rnacentral:rRNA from 1 species
AUUGAACGCUGGCGGCAGGCCUAACACAUGCAAGUCGAGCGAGCGGCGGACGGGUGAGUCAUGUAUGGGGACUGCCCGAUAGAGGGGGAUAACUACUGGAAACGGUGGCUAAUACCGCAUACUGUCGGAUAACACAUAUGGGAUUAGCUAGUAGGUAAGGUAAUGGCUUACCUAGGCGACGAUCCCUAGCUGGUCUGAGAGGAGAAUCAGCCUCACUGGGACUGAGAAACGGACCAGACGCGUCCACAAUCAUCCAUUACCAAUAUUGCACAAUGUGCGCAAGCCUGAUACAGGCAUGCCGCGUGUAUGAAGAAUCCCCUAGGGUUAUAAAGUACUUUCAGUCGUGAGGCGUUACCGACAGAAGAAGCACCGGCUAACUCCGUGCCAGCAGCCGCGGUAAUAC